GGAGGUGUGGCAGAGUGGUCGAAUGCACCGGUCUUGAAAACCGACGUACCUCACGGUACCGGGGGUUCGAAUCCCUCCGCCUCCGCAA
rnacentral:tRNA from 1 species